GAUGAACGCUAGCGAUAGGCUUAACACAUGCAAGUCGAGGGGCAGCACAAGGUAGCUUGCUAUCUGGAUGGCGACCGGCGCACGGGUGCGUAACGCGUAUGCAACUUGCCCUAUACAGGAGGAUAACCCGUCGAAAGACGGACUAAUACUGCGUAUGCUCACAACUUGGCAUCAAGUGGUGAGGAAAGAAAUUCGGUAUAGGAUAGGCAUGCGUCCCAUUAGCUUGUUGGUGAGGUAACGGCUCACCAAGGCAACGAUGGGUAGGGGAACUGAGAGGUUUAUCCCCCACACUGGUACUGAGACACGGACCAGACUCCUACGGGAGGCAGCAGUGAGGAAUAUUGGUCAAUGGGCGCGAGCCUGAACCAGCCAAGUCGCGUGAAGGAUGACUGUCUUAUGGAUUGUAAACUUCUUUUAUACGGGAAUAACAAGAGUCACGUGUGACUCCCUGCAUGUACCGUAUGAAUAAGCAUCGGCUAACUCCGUG
rnacentral:rRNA from 1 species